GUUUUUUUCUCUUUUGUCUUCCACUUACAAGGCUUUAUGUCAUUCUAAUAGAAUAGAGUUUUUGAUAUAAAUACUUUACUUUUAAAAUUGUCCAUAUAUAGUUCAGGGAAUAAAUGUCCUAAAUAUUAUUCCACCCAAGCUCUCUUUUUAUUUUUUAUUAUUUUCUCUUAUUUUUUAAUCUCCUCCUUUUCCCUUUUUAAUUUUUUCUCCUUUUUUUCCCCCUCUCUUUCUGCAAGUACAUAAAAAGAAUCAGGCACUUCCUGCUAUCCCUAAGCACAAAUUUAGUUCCUAGUUUAGCAACUCUAACGUAUUCAGGAAGGAAGGAAUAAUCUUUCUGAGGCUGUAGUGUUUUUACAGUGGCUGUAGUAGCUGUAGCUCAGAUUGUAGUUCCAUACUGCAGGAAUUGUGUAAUGUUUGAUCUUUGGAAGUAAUAAGGAACAGGCCCAUUCAUAGGUGAGAAUAAUAUGCAUUGUGCAGUACAGUGAAGCAGACAAAUGUUCCUGCAUAGAGGAGACUACCAUCUGGUAGAAUAAAACCAUUCAUAUUAGCCACAAAAUUCACUGAAUAACAAUAAUUUUUUUCCAAAAUAAACCCCUCCUUUUUCUGGCUAGGAUAAAGUAAGACUGAUUAGGUAUCACUUGUAAAAGGUGAAUUUUAUGAAAGAAGAGGAUGUAAGUGCUCUAGAGGAGAAGGAUUUGCAGGAGAAGCAUGAUAAGAUAAAGAUUUGUCUAAAAUAGGACUGGGAAAUGGCUAAGUGGGAACUGUGAGCUGAGUGUGUGGGAGGAAAGCAGGCAAGCAUUCAUUUCACCAAACAUUAAGAACAGAAAAAAGGCACGGGUGGAGAGCAGAUUUCUUUUUGUUACUCUGCUUUAAAUUGACCUGCUGAUUUCAGUUCCUGCAGGGCAUUAAGACUGUGUUCAGUGGGCUUUUAAUUUAUCAACCAGCCUGUUGUGAAUAGUUGCUAUCUGUUCUUUCUUCUAACUACUCUCUUUACCUCACCAAAAAAACCCAAGUGACAACCAGCCUGAUUCACCUUUCAAUUUAAGAAGAUUCUACCUGAUUUAGAUCCAGCUGCUUUGCUUUAAAGGUAUCAGCUGUUAACUUUAAGCAGCACACUGAAGGGUUGCUCUAGCUUUCACCUGUGAGCAGUCAGGUCCAACCUGCCCUCAUAAAAGCCCUCUCCUGGCUCCCAUGGCAGCAGAUGUGAGGACAGAGUAGCAUGGAGUGGGUCACACUGUCGGUGCGGGAGGGAAACAGCUGCCUGGUAAAGCAGCUUUUUGUGGAGUAUAUCAAGUUCUGGCCCUGUUUUGCCAUAAAUUAGCUGGUUUAAUAAACAUUCCCGGCAGCCUUCAGUAAACAGACUGUUUCAUGCUUGAACUUACUAACAUGCUCUUAUCUUUGCUAUAAAAUGUAUAUAAUCAUGAGAGAUUUCCGAGUGGCAGAGUGGAUUUGUGAAAACAUCCGCAUAAUGUUUUUCCACUUGCUUUCAGCUCCGUUCAUGGAUUUGCUGGCUGAGACAGUGUUUGGAGUAAAGUCACAUGAUCAAUCUGCAUUUUCUUGCAGUCUUCCUGAGCUUUUGCACCAUUCUUUUUCAUACCAGCUUCAGCAGGAACAUUUGAAAGAGUUGGCUUCUCUGUGCUACCUUGACCUGGACUUGGGCUCCAGAGGGAAAAUAUUUGCAGUUUUUACCUUGCACCGAGCCUGCUGUUCCUGAUUGUAGGAACUGAGGGAUGACAAGCUUAGGACAAAGCACAAGGACCACAAAGGCCAGUGAUGAUAACCAUGUGAAAAACAGAGGAGCCAGAAGGAAUAGGGAAGAGAUAAAGGGGCACAAUAAGAAGUGUACUGGGAUAUUAUGCAGCUCUUCGGGAAACAAUCACAGAUGUUAAGCAGCUCAUUCGGAAGGAACAAAUCUCUCCAUAACACAAGACUUGAUCAAAAUCAGCCUGAAUGUGAGUGUGGCUACCUGAGCAUGGGUUGUGUGUGUCUCUGCAGUGCAGAGGCUUGAAGGCAGGUUUGCCACCAGCACACAGGAGCUGGGACACAGCGAUGCACAAGUAACCUUGGUGACAGAGGCAGGACUGAAACAGCGAAUUCACAGCUCCCUGCUCUGUGCUCAGACCCCCAGACUCCGUUCUCUGUAUGUUUAUCAGCAGUGAUGGAAUACAAGUCACUGCUGCAGGCAGCAACGCUCUGUGCUCACCCUACUCCUUAUACUCCUUCCUUAGGCAUUCAUUUCUGACUAUGACCAGAGAUUGGAUAAAGGGACCCACAGGCCUUUGGUUUAGCCCAGUGUAGUCAUUCUAGUUUCCAUGAUGCCAAAUGAAGCCUUCAUCUAACCUAAAUAAAGAACAGGAUGUGGCACUGUUAGUUUCUUUGUUUAUAGUGUCUUAAUAAAUUCUAGAACAAAUGUACUCAAUUUGGAUGCAAAAGAACAUUCUCUUACUGUCAGCUCUACAAGCUAGUCUUGAAAACUGAGAGUCACUGAAUUCUUUUUGUCCUGUACAUCAAUGCAAAGAAAGCUGUAGAGACAAAACCUGUAAAUUUCUUCUGCAGUAGCUCUUCCCUGCCUCAGCACCGUCUGCAAUUCCUACCUUCAGCAGAUUUAUGAAAUGUCUCAGCUGAAUAAAAUUAUAUUGUAACUGAUAUAGGAGAAGGAUUGGAAUUAAUUUCAUUGUUAUUACAGUGAAAUGAAAUUAGUUAUAUUGACAACUGAGUUUUGAAGGGAGCAAAAGCUGCAAUAUUUUUAUACCCAUGUUAGUAAAAUAACUUGAUAAUCCUGAUAUGCUGUAUAGAAAAAUUAUUUUUGUAUGAUACUGUUUCACAAAAUAAUGUAAAUAUAUGGAUUGCAUAGGUGUUUAUAGGCACAGAAUUUGUUCACAAUAAAUAAUCUGUGAUCUUAUUUUGUUUCAGAAAAAUUCCAGUUUAUCUUCAUUUUAUUCAUUUGCUUUGUGCUACCUAAGUUUGCCAUAAUAAAGACUCUUGGGGUUCUAAUUAGUGAUUUUUCUGGAACA